rnacentral:lncRNA from 1 species
CUAUACAGAGUGUAGACCAGACAUACAGAGCAGCACUACACAGAGUGUAGACCAGACAUAUAGAGCAGCACUACACACAGGAUAUAGACCAGACAUACAGAGCAGCACUACACACAGACAGACAGGGGCCCUGUGCUCUUUCAGGAAGUUGCACUGAUCCAAUCACUGAUGCAUUUUGUUCGUAUCUUAUGAUUAACUUGGGCAAAUUAAUCCAUUUCAUAAUUUUCACUAUGAAAAUGUUUGCACUCACUACUGUAAGUCGCUAUGGAUAAGAGUGUCUGCUAAAUGACAAUAAUACAGUAAGCUUUCUUGAAUUUGUUCUGUAUUUGGGGACUGUGAAAAGACCCCUGGUGGCAUGUCUGGUGGGGUAAGUGUGUGUGUCGGAUCUGUGUGUAGUUGACAAUGUAAAAAAUGUGGGAUCUAACACAAUCUAUAUAUUUUUUAUUUAACUAGGCAAGUCAAUUAAAAACUAAUUCUUAUUUACAAUGACGGCCUGGGAUAAAAAAAUGUAAAUGUUUUUAAAUAUAUAAAUAUAGGACAAAAGACACUUCUUAUAAGAAGAAGUGAUGCAGUCAGUCUUUCCUCAACUCUUAGCCAAGAGAGACUGGCAUCCAUAGUAUUAAUAUCAGCCCUCUGAUUACAAUGACGAGCAAGACGUCCCGCUCUGUUCUGGACCAGCUGCAGCUUAACUAGGUCUUUCCUUGCAGCACUGGACCACACGACUGGACAAUAAUCAAGAUUAGACAAAACUAGAGCCUGCAGGACCUGCUUUUUACAGUGUGGUGUCAAAAAAGCAAAGCAUCCCUUUAUUACGGCCAGACCUCUCCCCAUCUUUACAACCAUUGAAUCUGUAUGUUUUGACCAUUAGAGUUUACAAUCUAAGGUAACGCCAAGUAAUUUAGUCUCCUCAACUUGUUCAACAGCCACACCAUUCAUUACCAGAUUCAGCUGAGGUCUAGAACUCUAGGAAGGAUUUGUACCAAAUACAACGCUCUUAGUUUUAGAGAUGUUCAGGACCAGUUUAUUACUGGCCACCCAUUCCAAAACAGACCUCAACUCUUUAAGGUUUUCAGUGACUUCAUUAGCUGUGGUUGCUGAUGCGUCUGUGGUUGAAUCAUCAGCAUACAUGGACACACAGGCUUUGUUUAAUGUAGAGGUCGACCGAUUAUGAUUUCUCAACGCCGAUACUGAUUUAUUGGAGGACCAAAAAAAGCCAAUACCGACUAAUCGGACGAAUUAAAAAAUAAAUAAUAAUAAUUAUGUAUUUUUUUUUAUAUAUAUAUAUAUGUGUAAUAAUUACAACACUACUGAAUGAACAAUGAACACUUUUUUAUUUUAACUUAAUAUAAUACAUAACUAAAAUCAAUUUAGUCUCAAAUAAAUAAUGAGGCAUUUUCAAUUUGGUUUAAAUAAUGCAAAAACACAGUGUUGGAGAAGAAAGUAAAAGUGCAAUAUGUGCCAUGUAAAAAAGCUAACGUUUAAGUUCCUCGCUCAGAACAUGAGAACAUAUGAAAGCUGGUGGUUCCUUUUAACAUGAGUCUUCAAUAUUCCCAGGUAAGAAGUUUUAGGUUGUAGUUAUUAGAGUAAUCAUAGGUCUAUUUCUCUCUAUACC